UCACAGAUAACUACAACUGCUUUCACUGUCAAAGACUGUAAUGCAAUGGGAGAAGCCUGGGAUCUGAUCUUCAGCCCAACUUCAGAGGCCAGAUUGCCAUUGACAUGGGUGACUGUGAGCCAGGAAGAAGUGUCGACAAGAAGCCUUUUGUGGCAUGGAUAUUAGAGGUGUCUUAUGCCUCUAAAAGGUUAGAAUCACGAAAGGUAAGAGGUGGAAUCAUUAAAAACAUCACUAGAAAGCCUCACCUCUGAGACCCACGGACACAGAAUACUGCCUAAACCAAGGUGGAGGAAGACCAGAGGCAAACCCUUCCACCUCUUCUCACUCCCACCCUCUCCCACAUCCUCCACCAAACUGGCGAACACGAACGCGGAGUAGCAAGAAGUAACCGUCUUCUCCUGAGAGAAAGACAGGUCCCUUUCUGUUAUUGCAUGGGGAAUCUAAAACAUUCGUGACUAAUUAAUAUGUCAAAAAUUCUUUGGAAAAGGUAUACAGAUGUGCCUAAUUAGGUGAAGAAUAGCCUGGAAGACAUGGAGGCUGUAUAAAAUAAUCAAAUAAAAAUGCUAUGGGGGAAAAACAUACUAGCAGAAAAAAAGAAUGCAUUUGUCAGAGUCAUCAGUGGAAUCCACACAUCUGAGGAAGGAGUUGGUGGAUUUGAACUUCAAGAUAGAUUAAUACAUAUUGUCUAAACUGAAGCAAAAGGAAAAACAAAACAAAAAACAAAAACCAAGUCACUUGUGGUGAAGGUGCAGGAAGAAAACAACCAGAACUGAGCACCCCAGAGCUGCAGGACAGUAUCAGAAAGGUAAGAUGUGUUUUUGGAAUCUUGGAGUAAGGAUGAAGCAGAAUAAAUAUUUGAAGGGAGUAAUAGCUGAGAGUUUUUCCAAAAUAGUGAAAAUUAUCAAACAGAUUAAGUUCAGAAAACGCCAAGAAGGAUAAAUGCACACCCAGAACAUCAUAGUCAAGGAACCAAACAAUGUAAGUUAAAAGAAAACCUAAAAUUCCAGAAAACUAAAGCCUAUUACAUACAAAGGAACAAAAAUAAGAAUUUAGUAGACUUUGACUUUUUGUCAGAAACUACAUAUGCUAAAAGACAAUGAACUCUUUAAAGUGGUAAAAUUUUUAAAAAGGUAACUCAAAAUUCAUUGAAAAGAUGUAUCAACAUUGAAAAUAAAAUAAAGAACCUUUUGACAAAAACUGAGAGAAUUGUCAGCCAACCGACGUGAAAAGAAAUAUGAAAAGAACUUCUUCAAGGUUGAAAGGAACCUGAUAGAAAGUCGUAUUUUUGCAAAGUAAUGAAGAUCUCCGAAAGCAGUUAAAAUGAAAUUACAUAUAGAAAAUAUUUUUCUUAUUUUAAAUACUCUGAAAUGUAAGUGACUGAGAAGUAGCAGUGUAGCGUGGUUUAAAACUGCACAAAAGUAAAAAUAUGAAAAUUACAAAAAACGAGGGGAGCGAAUUAAGAGCAUACUCUCAUAAGGCUAGGUCUUAUACUUAACGUAAAGCAAUAUAAUUUAUCUGAAGAUGUGUAUUGUAAACCCUAGGCUAACUACUAAAACUUUAAUUAGGCAUGAAAAAUCCAAUUGUGAAAAAGUCAAACUUAUAAAAGCAGAGAAAAUACUGGUUACCAGAGCUUGAGGGGGUGGGGAAGUUGAGAAUGGGGAGAAGCUGAUUUGGGGUGCAAAGUUCCAGCUUUACAGGGGAAAAGUUUUCACAUAGCAAG
ensembl:lincRNA